rnacentral:rRNA from 1 species
UACAGAGGGUGCGAGCGUUGUUCGGAAUUACUGGGCGUAAAGCGCGCGCAGGCGGCCUUUUAAGUCUACCCGUGAAAUGCCGGAGCUCAACUCCGUGCACGCCGGGGGAUACUGGGAGGCUGGAGACAGGUAGAGGCAAGCGGAAUUCCGGGUGUAGCGGUGGAAUGCGUAGAGAUCCGGAAGAACACCGGAGGCGAAGGCGGCUUGCUGGACCUGGUCUGACGCUGAGGCGCGAAAGCGUGGGGAGCGAACAGG